GUCCCCGGCGUCCGGGCGCCCUGCAUGGAUCCCCCACCCCAGCUCCUGCUCCCCGGCGGCGGCCGAGGAAGACAAACAUAAAGAUGAAGUGCUUAAUUCAAGGUCACACAAUGUCGGGGAUGGACCUCCAGAUUUCCUUACUGACCUGCAUUAUCUUGUGGAUACCUGAGUGAAUUCCACACCACCCAUUUUAUAGAUGAAACCACUGAGACAUGGAGCAAUUGACUGAGUAGUCACUGCCCCACCCCUGCCUGGAGCCUCACACAUGACUCGCCUCCUCUCAGUGACCACAGGUGAGACGUGGUCUUGUAACACAGUGGUUAAGAAUGUGACUUUGGAGCCAGCCUGCUAGGGGCUGAAUUCUGACUCAGCCAUUUACUAACUGUGUGACCUUAGUCUGUCUAGUGACUGGUGUUGUCAUAAGAAGAGAGGGACACAGAGGGAAGAUGGCCACAUGAAGAUGGAGGCAGAGAUUGCAGUUAUGCUGCUGCAAACUAAGGAAUGGCUCUGGCCCUCCAAGGAUUGCUGAUAACCACCAGAAACUAGAAGAGACAAGGAAGGAUUCUUCCCUAGAGCCUUCAGAGGGAGCAUGGCCCUACUGACACCUGGAUUUCAAACUUGUAGCUUCCUAAACUGCAAGAGAAUAAAUUUCUGUUGUUUUAAGCCAUAUAGUUUGUGGUAAUUUGUUAUGGCAGUCCUAGGUAAUUAGUGUACACUCUUACCAUCUUCAUUUUCAGAUAAAGGAAACUGAGGCCCAGAGAAGUCAAAUACUUUGAGAUCUCUGUAGGCCCCUACUGUGCUGGCUGUGCAUAGAUUCCAUACCUCCUGCUGUUGCUGUUGUUGGGUCUCCACCUUUACCAUGGCCAUCACCUCCUGGCAGUGCUGGAGCUGAGCUGCUGGAAUAACUUGUUUUUCUUUUUUCUUUUUUUUUUUUCUUUUAAGACAGAGUUUUGCACUGUCCCCCAGGUUGGAGUGCAGUGGUGCGAUCUCGGCUCACUGCAACCUUUGCUUCCUGGGUUCACGCCAUUCUCCUGCCUCAGCCUCCCAAGUAGCUGGGACUACAGGCACCUGCCACCACGC
rnacentral:lncRNA from 10 species